AGAAAGAGAAAGAGAGAGAGAGAGAGAGAUGAGAACUCUAUUGAACUUCACUGAAGAUUAUCUACAACACAAAUUCAAUGGGAAUGACCUGAGGCGGUGAUUACUGGGGGAUGUAUCGCUUGUUUCAAGCUGUUCUCCUGCGCCAGAGGGGACAGUGAGCUGUGGCGGGAUGCAGCGGAGCAGCUUGGACGAGUGCAGCGGAGGGGCCGCUUCCACAUCUCCAUGUGCAAGAGUACAACACAGCUACAAGUGCCUAAGCCCCCGGGAAUGACAAAUUAUUAUUAUUAUUAUAUUAUUAUAAAUUGACCAUUAUAAUACUACAACACAGAAGCUCCCAUGCAGAAGUUGAGUUAUAGAUCCUGUGUUGUAGGUUUUUCUGCAUCCUCUUGAAAGGUGCAUUUUUUCUUUGCUUUUAACUCAAGCUCCAAGGCACUGAAUACAUACAUUAUUAAUAAGACAUACAGUAUUAAUAGCAUGCAAAUAAAGCUUGCACCAUGCGUUAUCAGACAUCUGCAAAUGAAAAGAGGAUGCGCCUAAAUGUGAUGUUAAGCAACACGGAGGCCCUGGGGCCAUUUACUUCUCUUCUAUUCAACAAUUUACAUGGUGACAGGUGGGGAGGACAUAACCUGCGGGUUAUGGCUGCGUGUUUCCCCAAAGGAAUCUUGUGCUUUUUGUGUGAGUGUGUAUAGGAGUGCUGAGCCGAUGAUAGUCUUAUGGGACACAGAUAAGUGAAUCUGAAGAUGGCUAUUGUAGAAUGGGUAUCUGGUGUAAGUAAGCUUGAGUGUGGUUAUAGACUGGGGUUAUAUAGUGUGGUACCCCGGAAUGAGGUGACAUUUUUUAUCACAGGCUUAAGCCUUGUGAAUUAAAGGGCUAUUUCUUGUUGUAUCAUAUAUUUGAUAUGACACAUCUAUACAUUAUAGUAGUCAUGGUUACAUAGCGUUCACAUCCCCAUGGCCAUAUCUGCGUAGGUUAGACAUUAAAAAUGACAGCAGCGGUGGAUUCAUAUUCCUAACAAACUGGUUGUUUUGAAAGAGAAAAAAAUAGCGACCUGUUGCAAAUCAUGCAUGGAUGCCAACAGUGGAAUUUUCCAUUUGACAUCAAAAACAUUUAUGUGCCAGUCUCAGUAUUUGGCAGGAUGGUUUAAAAAGAAAAAUGAAGUCAAGAAUCGAGUGUACCCCCUGCAACGGUCUCCGUAAGAGUGGGAUCUAGGACAGCAGAAUAAUGGAAUCUUGGCACAAGGUUUAUCAGAUUAGGAGAUUAUGUGGAACACCUACAUCGGAGAUUGCACAUUACACGCUUGACUUACACAGCAGGCCAGUGUCCCACUUAGUGGCCUACUCAUUCUUCAUCCUAUUAUGUGUGACUCUCCAAUACAUUGUCUCGCUGAAGCUGAAGUACCAUUACGCAUACCAUUAUUAUGUGUGCUUCUCUCGCUCUCCCUCUCCAACUCACUUUGGACUCACUCCUCUUUACCCUCCUCUAUACUGUGUUUCUGGCACUCUUCUCCACUACUGUGCCCCCAUUUCACUUUUUCUCUCUUUUCGAUCUCGCCAUUCAAGACAGAUGUCAGCUCCUCCAACAUUAAUCCAUCACAUCUCUAAAACACCAUGUACCGCUCACUCAGAUACAAGCUCUUCGUAGGACCUACAUCCCCAACGCUCUCGGGACAGGUGGGGUUUACGCGAAACUCCACACAUCUGACGACCCCAACACCGUUGCGGUGUGUCUGCGUGCGAGAGAGAGGCACUCAUCCAAGUUUGCCAUCCCAGCUAUCUGUCAGGCCGAUAAGUGGACUCGUGUCUAGGUGUCAUCUGUCACGCGUCCCGGUGGUAGCUGAGAGCCUCUCUCAGCCCACCUCCCGUCCGGGAACGCUUGAUUAAUCUCCAGCUAAGCUGUCGUUUGAGUGAUAGCCGCAGGGAUGUAAGUGCUCGCCACCACAAGUGGAAGAGAGUGUGAGCUUUUGUGUGUGUGUCCUCUCAACCCCUCCAACCCACCCCCCCGCUCCCGCCACCCCCAUCAAUGUCUGUCUGAUGGGUGUUGGAGGAUCUCUGUCAUGCUUUAAUCACCCUGGUCCAGAUGGGAUGAGCGAAAGGUUUCCAUCUGAGAUGGGGAGAGCGACUGUUAGCGUGUGUUGAGUGCUCUUUCGCCUGCUUUCAAAAGCGCCGAGGCAUUCACCGCGCUCCUCCGCUGGCAUGCCCAUAAACGGCAUAAAAUAUGGCUGGAUGGGACAGAGCAGCUCUCGGCUCUUCCAAACACAACGUCAAAACAUGACAAAGUGAAGGAACCUGGUCUGAGAGAUCCCACGGAGGCGUGCGGAGAGCUCACAGCACUUUCACAGCUUCGCUGGUGACGGACAAAGUGAGAGUUGUCGCAGACAGUCACAGACUUCUGCCCGUACAGACUUAAGGAGCCAGCCACUCUUUGAAGUGUCACCGACGGAGAGCUCUGUCGGGAGACACACCGCAGGCCCAGUCGCUGCUGUGGGACUCCCUGCGUGUGGCUAACAUGUUUAGAGCCCCCGGAGAAAUUCCUGACAGGUCAGCCAAAGGUUUUUGAGGCAUAGACGUGUUGACCCAUGAAGGCCUGAGCGCUCGCAGAUAAACAGAGCUGAGCAUGCAUGGUUUUUCUCCCAUAAGAGGACGAGAGUGUGAGUGAAUCCCUGUAAAGCAUAACACAGGCGUAAACACCAGCACUCCGAUUCCAUGUUUUUUUUUUUUCAAACACACAGACAGAGAGAGAGAGAGAGAGAGACUUAGUUCAUAAACUCCCUGAUUCCAUGUUGUUUUUCACACAGUGAGAGAGAUCGGAAGAGCACAC